AUUGUUUUCCUCUCAAUUCAGGUUUCUGUUGCACCUCCAAAAUUCUAACUAAGAUAUAAGUGUGUUUAGGUCAGAUUUAAGGGUGUUGUUUAACCUGAACUUAGUGUUGGGAAUUGGUUCCUCAUGAAUUUUACCUACCUCAUCAGUAUCAUGUGAUCUAUUUAUCCAAAUCUAUGCCGCGGUCUCCUAUUUCUCUUUUGCGUGUUGGAAGAACCAAAUUUUGCUCCUGAAAAUGCAAUAUUGGUUUUAAGAAUUGAGAAAUUGAAAGAUUUGUGUGCUAUCAAAGUGCCUCGUUAAGUGAUUUGCUUAAAAAUGUGUAAGUUGGCAGCUCUUCAUUCUUUAACUGUCAUAUUUCACUCUUGUUUAAAAGUUGUUAACUGAUAGCAGUGCCUUCUCUAUUGUUAUUUUCGAGACGCAAGACUCUGAUGCUCACGAAGAAGAAGCUUGUUCCAUCAAAAUCUUGGAAGAUGGGAAGUCUAGGUGCGAGUGGUACACUAAUUAUGCCGAGCUGUAUUUCGAAGUGUCCUCUCUUUAGUGCUGAUGAUCCGUCAUCCAUGAAUACCGUGUAGUCAGAUAAUGCGUGCACAUACGUGCAGAGUAGACAGAGAGGAGCCUUGCCUUCUUAUGAACAUGGAUAGGUUGUCGUAUAACAGAGGGUGAGAGCUAAGCUACUUCCAAUGAGUUGAGAGAAGAUGCGGAAAUCAUAUUCAUGUUCGUUCAUAAAAUUUGAGGAGUUUGCUGAUACUUCAUCUGGGAGUGGUGUCCCUUCGUCAGUAGUAGCAGCAACAAUCCUGGAAUUGCCACGGCUGCAUGCUGAAGUCUGCAAUUCGAUGUUCUUUUGUUGACGUGGGCUUUCAUCAGAUUGUUGUGCAGCAAGGUUGACUUUUUUUGAGUGAAGAAACCUGAUAUUGGAGUAACAGUAGGUUUGGCUGGGAGCAACUUUUUGGAUGGUAUAGUGUCCAUGGUUUAAAUAGUAGUGGCCGGAUAGCAGUAGCAGUUGACACUUGAUGGCUAGAAGGCUUAUGGAUGUGAACUCCAGAUUCAAACUUUGCUUUUCAUGCUUUUUGUUUGCAAGCCUUGUUUCUUAUGGUCUGUGUUCAGAGUCACCUUCAUACGACAUGAGUCAAGUCUGGGAUAUGAGGGGCAGUACGAUGCAUGCAUAGUGCCUAAGAAUGCCAAGUGACCAGUGGGAUGCCCUUCAAGAAAAUUCAUCUCCAUUAAGGACCUACAAGAGAUCAAACUUUUUGAUUCCAGGGACUGGUGAAGCACAAAAAGUGACACAGGGCUCUGUUGCUAAAGGAAAAAUUAUGCAACAAACUUCAACAUUCGUGGCACUGCCUAAUACAUGAUUUUUUGACGAGAGAGACUCGAUUCUUGUGGCUGCACAUAAUGCAGUUAACCAGUGCAAAUACUAUUAUUCCGAUGCAAAUUUGAUCCAAAGUAACUGUGGCAUAAUGGUUUUAAUGUCAAAGGCAGAGGCAUCUUGUCUUUGUCUUUGGUGAGUAUAGUCAACAUAGCAACUCACAUGCAUUGAUAUAUAUGUACAAAUCUAUGCCGUGGUAUAUAUAUGGGUGAAGAAUAACUUAUUCCUCACCCUGGUCGAUAGACCGGCGGACACGGGCUCAAAUAAACCAACACAUAGCUCUACUGACGUAAAAUUCUACUGGUGCCGUAGUAAUUUUACUUUUCGCCGAUCGGUUAGCUGGUCGUGGGGAUUAGGAGGAGAUUCCACUCCCGUUCCUUUCAUAUAUUUUUGGAAAAAAAAAUGUUUCAAGUCUUGAGCGAGAUUAGUGCCUGGCGAGCGGCUUCCCUCGGUGCUGGCGGCCAACUUCCCGUUCUAUUUAGUUCGGGCGAUACGGUGAGCAGUCAGCGUGGUGAUCGGCGGGCAGGCGGGGCAAUGUGGCGGCUGGCCUCGAUGUCGGCCGCCUUGUGGUGGUCGCGGCGGCUUUGUGGUGGGUGGGUGUGCAGGUGCCGUACUGACUACUGAGUCUUAUCUUUUUGUUGAGGAUUUGUAUUUUAUUUUCUGCCGAUCGAGUGUUCCACUUCCACGUAUUCUGCCCGGAACCGCGGCAGUCAGGAAGAAGACGGAGAAAAUUCGUCCUGGGAAGUAGGCAGUAGUAGCUGACGCGGACGAGGAGGCGUGGAAAUUGGGUGCACCAACGGGGAGAAGCCAGCGCCUCUCCUAGCCGUGGAGAGUGGCAGCAGCCAUAGCACCCCAUUGAGGUGCAGCUUGUGUUUCAGAUCCAAUUCUGAGUGUCGUGCGUGGGUUUGAGUGAGUCAAUGAUGUGUCUAAUACCAAUCUUCCAAUGGAGGAAGCCGCGAGAUAGCUGCUGGCGCAUGGGAGGAUGUGAGCAACCCUAAUCCUGUGGUUUAAUUUCCACUUUGUUUCUCUGCCAGUAAAUUUUCCACUGGAGGAAGCCGCAAGGGCGCGGGUGGGGAGCGCAUGGGAGUGUUAGUGGUGCGUGGAUUAAGAUUUCAGUCAUGGGUGACUUUGCCUGGAUGCUUGUAAAAUUGGUCACAAGAAAGUGUGAUCACUUGGACAUCAGAGGCAUUGUGAUGCCGAGGAUCUUGUAGAGGAUUUAGGAAAGUGAAUUGCAAUAUUAUUGAAGCAAAAUUGGUGAAGUUCGAUGAGGAUUCGAAAUGGCGUGCAACCUACUUACACAUAGAUGAUUUCAAGAGAUUUUUCCUUCAAAAAUUGGAAAUGCUCUUGUACUGAAGAUAACGUUCUGACAAAGAAGCGGGUAUCACUUAUUGAUCACCAGGUGAUGAAUAUAUUGGUGGGGAUGCAAGUAAUGGACCAUAUUUUUCACCAUUCCUCUAUGGCUAUGGUACUUCAACACCUAUGUAAGAAGAUGAUGAACAGCCAAAUACUUCUAGUUCCUAUUGUAAAUAAAGCAAAAGAUGUUUUGUGGCAAAGAUGCAGACCGCAAGACCAAACUAAGCCUUCCAUGAGUCUCAUUUUUUGAAGCUCUCACAGAGAAGUUAAGGCUCUAUUAGCAUGUUAUGUAGGAAAGUUAUAAUCAUUGUAUUAGAAAAGCCUCAAAUGCUCAUCUCACCCUGGUGAAAAAGUUGUGAAUGAUGUUCUAUAGAGAUUUUUAAUGUAAGUGCAUGGUUGUCAAUGAGCUUAAUCUUUUGUAAAUCCAACAAGAUCCUACCGAUGCA